rnacentral:rRNA from 1 species
AUGCCUAUUAGUCGUUUUUCUAUAAACUCAUUUUUUCGGUUACUUCUGUUAAAUGACAAAGUUGAGAGUUUGCCAGAUAAUCUCUGCAAUUUAAGGCGGUUGAGACAUAUUGAACUGCAUGAUGGUAGGACAUGCCUGUCAUACAAAGCACUGCCUCAAAUUCCUAACAUUGGCAAUCUAACUUUGCUUCAAAAUUUUCGGGAAUUUUCUGUGCCAAAGAAAAAGGGAUAUGAAUUGGGACAAUUGAGGGACAUGCACAAGAUUCGUGGCAGUUUAAGCAUCACAAAUGUUGAGAAUGUCACAAAGAAGGAUCAAUCCUUAGAAUCGAAGCUGCAUCAGAAAUGUCAUCUUGGCAGCUUGAAACUUGUCUGGAGUUACAAUAAUAACAUGAAUGUAGAGGAUAGUUUACAUUCGGGGAUUCUAGAAGCUCUGCUGCCACCGCCUCAACUUGGGGAUCUUACAAUUAUAUUGAUGGUUAUAGAUCUUCAAAAUAUCCAGGCUGGUUACUUGAUUGUUCGUAUUUUGAGAAUAUGGUAUCUUUAA